CCAAGGAGUCUAACAUGUGCGCGAGUCACUCGGUCUUGAAUAGGCCAGAGAGGCGCAAUGAAAGUAAAGUUGAUUGAGUUACGAUCCUCAUGCGGUUAUCCUUAACGGGUAACGGUGAGGCGCAGUAACAGCCCGCCAAUUUCGCUUAUUGACGAUCUGGCGGAGUUGUAGCGUACACGUUGGUACCCGAAAGAUGGUGAACUAUGCCUGGGCAAGACGAAGCCAGAGGAAACUCUGGUGGAGGUCUGUAGCGAUUCUGACGUGCAAAUCGAUCGUCAGACCUGGGUAUAGGGGCGAAAGACUAAUCGAACCAUC
rnacentral:rRNA from 1 species